AGGAAUCUGCCUAUUAGUGGGGGACAACAUUUCGAAAGGAACGCUAAUACCGCAUACGUCCUACGGGAGAAAGCAGGGGACCUUCGGGCCUUGCGCUAUCAGAUGAGCCUAGGUCGGAUUAGCUAGUUGGUGGGGUAAUGGCUCACCAAGGCGACGAUCCGUAACUGGUCUGAGAGGAUGAUCAGUCACACUGGAACUGAGACACGGUCCAGACUCCUACGGGAGGCAGCAGUGGGGAAUAUUGGACAAUGGGCGAAAGCCUGAUCCAGCCAUGCCGCGUGUGUGAAGAAGGUCUUCGGAUUGUAAAGCACUUUAAGUUGGGAGGAAGGGCAUUAACCUAAUACGUUAGUGUUUUGACGUUACCGACAGAAUAAGCACCGGCUAACUCUGUGCCAGCAGCCGCGGUAAUACAGAGGGUGCAAGCGUUAAUCGGAAUUACUGGGCGUAAAGCGCGCGUAGGUGGUUUGUUAAGUUGGAUGUGAAAGCCCCGGGCUCAACCUGGGAACUGCAUCCAAAACUGGCAAGCUAGAGUACGGUAGAGGGUGGUGGAAUUUCCUGU
rnacentral:rRNA from 1 species